ensembl:lncRNA
AUGACCCGACUUCCUCUUUGCAUAAGUGGAAGACAGUCUGUCUGCUUGCUUUUGCUCCAUAGACGUCGCAGACUUGCAGUGCCUCUGUGGCUGGAUUUGGUAGAGAACAGGGGACCAAGGCCAUUAGCCAUACAGGGGCCCAGCCGCUCUGGUGGUACGAGACAAGAGGCUUGGGACGGAAGCAGGAUCUGCCUCUUGUUGCCCACCUUUCCGCAUCCAGGAGCCGAGUGCAGACCAGUGUCUUUCCUCUGUAGAGUCCCUGGUGGAAGUCUGUCUGUCACACCGUGGUCAACAGCGUUGUUUCCAUGUCCGAGCAACCCUUAUGAACCAGAGCAGCAGGUUAGCUCUGGAUCCCUUUCCUGCUGCUGUUGAAUAGAACGUGGCUAUUCAUAAUAACCAGAUCCUUUGAGCUCCCACAAACAACUGUGCAAGGUAUGUGUUGUUAAUCCCGUUUACAGAUGACGAACCAUUUUUCUGUUCCCAGACAGAGCCUUUCACUGAAUGUCAUUCCGGCCUCAUCUCCCAGGAUCUCCAGCUGCCUAUAAUUUGCAGGGUCUAGGAGUGGUUCUCACCCUGCCUUGGUGGGCUGGAGGGAGUCACGAGGCUACUUGUUGUCAGCUCUGGAGAAAGAUGGAGAAGAGGUGGAAACAGAAGUACCUGUGUGGGUCAGGAUCUGGAUCCUAGAGGAGUGAGCAAGCUCCUGCCUCUCUGUGCUUUCACUUAAUUUGUGGGCUCCUGGAGGCUCCUGCGAUGUGGACCUCUGCCUGACGAGGGGCCAGCGUGCCCCAUUUCAUUAGCAGGCUCAGCACACCACGUUAGCUGGGCACCACUCGCCAUGACACGUGGAGUCAGAGAAAGCCCUCUCUGACUAAUUAACCUUGGGUUCUGGACACUAAGCAAAGUGUUAGGACAGUGAGUUAUUGACUCUGCUUCCUCCAAGAACGCGGCAGGGCUGAGGCCGGUUUGUCUGUUGUUUUGGUGGUAGCGGGUGGCGCCAGGGGUGGGCGCUCUGUUCCUGUUCUUGAUUGGCCUAGUCUUGGGAGAAUAGUACCUUAAAUGGACUGGCCUGGGUGGGCUCAGUAGUGUGGGCAAGCAUUUUAAAACCUUGCUAAGGGAGUUCCUGGUUGCCUAGUGGUUAGGAUUCGGUGCUUUCACUGCUGUUGCCCAGGUUCAAUCCUGGUCGGGGCAAGCUGCACGGUGUGGCCAAAAUUAAAUUUAAAAAUUAAAACCCUUGCUCACACCAGGUCAACAGCCCGUAAGAGCCACGAGGUUGACAUAUGCCCUUGCGAAAUCCAGUCUCCUGGCCACAUGAUGUCACCUGUUCCCAGGGGACAGCCUGAGACAUCCCGAGGACUCAGCAGGAGGAGAAGGACAUUAGAUGCCUCAGUUUUUCUUCUCCCGGGAUCCUCUGCCUCUUUUCUUAGGCCAGAAGGUCCCUCUCCUGCCCAGCUCUCCAUCCCUGGCCUGCCCCUCCGCCCCUGUAAAACCCAAACACACUGCCCUUUAAUCCUUCCGCCAGAACCCUCGGGCAGCGGCCACCGCCUCCUCCCAGCUCACCCCUGACCUGAUUUUGUGUUUUUGCCUUUUCUCAAACAGUCUGUUCAAGGUCUAGUCAUGAGCUGGAGGUUGGCUCAUAAGCAGCCUCUCUCCCCUGAGCUGUAAGGGAGGGGCAAUUCUGGAAAGUCAUUGACAGAGGCUUAACCCAGAACGUCACUUAUAAACAGGCAGCGGGCAGAGGGCCCAGACUUGGGUGUUCGCCCGGCACCGAGGACAGUGUGGCCUCCUGGGCCCUGCGGACCAGCUGCUGCGGUAAGGGGACCACCUCAGCACCUCCAGGUUGCUCUCCUGGGGCGUGCAUGCACUGUGGCCGCCGUUUCUCUCCUCUCUAGAAGUUGGCAGCCUUCUCAUACUUGGGAAAGGAGGCGGCAGGUGGGUUCUGGGGCAGGAACCGGGAGGGCUGGGCUGGACUGGUGGGGACACUGGUCAGGGGUGGGCAAAACCGAGGAGCCCGAGGAAGACAAACCCUACCGGCGGUCAGAAGGGGUUCUGCCCAAGACCUAGGGACAGAGGAAGAUGGACCAUGGGCCCUGGAGCUCUGGGCUAGAACGCCUUUGUGUGGUGGCUGCAUUUGGGGAAAGGCCACCUGGUUCCUUUGCCUGUGUCCCUUGCGGAGAUGGUGCAGCUGGUGGCAGUCAGGGGGCGUCCGCUCUGAGCACAGCACCAGGCCAGGGCCUGAAGCAGACACAUGCUGAGAUGCACGUCCUUGGCUCACUCGGGUCUGGAUGAAGAGCGCUGGAGCCCCGAGCCGGAAGGCCUGGCUCUCCUUAGGAGCCUGGGAAAGAUCAGCUCUCCUCUGGGCGUGAGUCUGUGAUUGUAUCCUAGACAGCAAUGAAUGGAAAGCAGGUGGCACCGCUUCCUGGGAGGCCAGCUUUCUGGCGUUUGAGCAGACUCACAGUUUAGGUGUAAGCAGGAGGACUUCUCCCAUUUGCUUAGAAGAAAACCUUUCCCUCAGUUUACGGGAGGAAAACAGAAACGGGCCCCAGAUGGCUUCUGGUUCUUAUCUUCAACUGCAAACAGGCCAAACUCUCCUCCAGGUCACAGGGUAAAGACUCAUGGAGAAGGAGACACUGGCUGUGUGUGUGUGUUUGUGUUUCAAGGAAUAGAUGAAGGGACGGACAUGCAGUUCCCUUUGUUUUGUCCCGAACUUCCCAGGAGCAGAAGUGAAUAAGGAAUGUGCCUUUUCUCCUAGUGUCCUGGACCAGGGAUGAAGGGAUGUGGUUCCUCUGACUUUAUUCUUGGUCAGGCAACUCAAGAGACGCCUGUCAUGAGGAGGAAUCAGAGAUGAGGCCGUCAGUACUUACUAAUCUGGAUGGAUCUGGAACAAUCUUGUUUGUGUAUUUGGUCUCCUGACUGGAAUGAAGUGUCAGUUUCAUGAUGGCAGGGACCUCUUCUCUCUGUCCAAGUGCCUGCUGCUACUGCUGCUGCUAAGUCGCUUCAGUCGUGUCCGACUCUUUGCGACUCCAUAGGCGACAGCCCACCAGGCUCCCCGUCCUGGGAUUCUCCAGGCAAGAACACUGGAGUGGGUUGCCAUUUCCUUCUCCAAUGCAUGAAAGUGAAAAGUGAAAGUGAAGUCGCCAGUCGUGUCCGACUCUCAGCAGCCUCAUGGACUGCAGCCUACCAGGCUCCUCCAUCCAUGGGACUCUCCAGGCAAGAGUACUGGAGUGGGGUGCCGUUGCCUUGGCGUGUUACAAACUCUCAAUCAAUAGCGAAUGAAUGAAUGAGUGCCUUUUCUUUGCUUCUCAUUUCACUGAACCUCUCCAACUUCAUUUUCUGUUGAUUCCAUGCCAGACUUUUCACUUGAUCAGCAUCUACUUGGUGAUGCCUGACCCUGACCCUAAACUAGUCAGGCUUGCAGGAAGAGGAGGCCCACCAACACCCCAGGUGCCAGGUGCUGCAACCUGCCAGGACCUCUCGAGUGGAUCCUUCCUCUGAGCACGAGUCAAAUCCCUCCCUGUGGCACCGUGCCCAGCUCUCCUUAGCUGCCUUCCGCCACCUCCUUUGCGUACACCAGUGUUAAAUAGUUCUUAUAUUUCAAACGUACUGGUCUUGUCUCCUCGCCAGACAGAAAGUUUCUUGAAGACACAGGUCAUGUUCUGUAUUAUCCUCUGUCCAUCGAGUAUGUGUUACAGGCAAUCAGUGCUUGAUAAACACUUGAUGGCUCUGGUUGUAUGAAAUCUAAUCAUUGAGGACAUUUCGCAGUUUACACUUUAUGAAACCAAGGGAUGGCCUGCAGUUUCAGAUACAACAGGUCACUCACUCAUCAGCCUUCUGUGUUGGGCAGAUUGUUGUUCCGCCGCUCAGUCGU